rnacentral:rRNA from 1 species
CAGCCGCCGCGGUAAUACGAAGGGUGCAAGCGUUAAUCGGAAUUACUGGGCGUAAAGCGUGCGUAGGCGGCUUCUUAAGUCGGAUGUGAAAUCCCUGAGCUUAACUUAGGAAUUGCAUUCGAUACUGGGAAGCUAGAGUAUGGGAGAGGAUGGUAGAAUUCCAGGUGUAGCGGUGAAAUGCGUAGAGAUCUGGAGGAAUACCGAUGGCGAAGGCAGCCAUCUGGCCUAAUACUGACGCUGAGGUACGAAAGCAUGGGGAGCAAACAGGAUUAGAUACCCCCGUAGUCCCUGUCUCUUAUAC